UACGGAGGGAGCAAGCGUUACUCGGAAUUAUUGGGCGUAAAGGGCGCGUAGGCGAUUCGAUAAGUCUCAUGUGAAAUCCCAGGGCCUAACCCUGGAAUGGCAUGGGAUACUGUUGGAUUUGAGUUCCGGAGAGGAAGGCAGAAUUGCCGGUGUAGCGGUGAAAUGCGUAGAUAUCGGGAGGAAUACCAGUGGCGAAGGCGGCCUUCUGGACGGAUACUGACGCUGAGGCGCGAAAGCCAGGGGAGCAAACGGG
rnacentral:rRNA from 1 species